rnacentral:rRNA from 2 species
UUUACCCGCUGAAUUAAGCAUAUCAAUAAGCGGAGGAAAAGAAACCAACAAGGAUUCCCCUAGUAACUGCGAGUGAAGCGGGAAAAGCUCAAAUUUAAAAUCUGGCGGUCUUUGGCCGUCCGAGUUGUAGUCUGGAGAAGUGCUUUCCGCGCUGGACCGUGUACAAGUCUCUUGGAACAGAGCGUCAUAGAGGGUGAGAAUCCCGUCUUUGACACGGACUACCAGUGCUUUGUGAUGCGCUCUCAAAGAGUCGAGUUGUUUGGGAAUGCAGCUCAAAAUGGGUGGUAAAUUCCAUCUAAAGCUAAAUAUUGGCGAGAGACCGAUAGCGAACAAGUACCGUGAGGGAAAGAUGAAAAGCACUUUGGAAAGAGAGUUAAACAGUACGUGAAAUUGCUGAAAGGGAAACGCUUGAAGUCAGUCGCGUCGGCCAGGACUCAGCCUUGCUUUUUUGCUUGGUGCAUUUUCUGGUUGACGGGCCAGCAUCGAUUUUGACCGCUGGAAAAAGGCCAGGGGAAUGUGGCACCUUCGGGUGUGUUAUAGCCCUUAGUCACAUACAGUGGUUGGGAUCGAGGACCGCAGCACGCCUUUAUGGCCGGGGUUCGCCCACGUUCGUGCUUAGGAUGCUGGCGUAAUGGCUUUAAACGACCCGUCUUG